UUCAGUUUAAAUAGCUGCGGGAAUAUUGCUGAGUUUCACCAAAACCCUAAUUGCUGCUGCUGCUGCUGUCGUUUUCAUGUAUGCUGGUUUUGAGAGGUUAAGCUGCCAGCUUGAUCUGAUUACAACAACACCUCCAUUUUUGAGAUUUUAAACGCUUCAUAAAUCUGGCCAUUUUGAAUCCCAUUUUCUUCUUCUUCCUUUUUUCAGAAAAUGAAAAGAAAAUUAUAUUUGAUUAAUUUCAAGAAUUGGUUCCACUGAUCAGGUCAUCUGGCAGCUUCAAUCACUCACCAACAAUACAAUUAAGGAUCGAAAUGGAUCUCUUAAUUACUUAUCAUCAUAUCCACCUUACUAAUCCAACGGGUAAGUAUUUUGUUUCCUUUAAUUAUUAGUUAAUAUUGUUCAAUUAGUCUAUGUUUAUACGUCUAAUAGGUGUAUAUGAAUAAUUGCUCUGGAUCUGUAUAGCUUCUGUUCAUCCCUUUCAUGCAAACAGAUUAUCGUGCACUCUCUCUCCCUCUGAUAAUCAGACGUAAAGAAUAAAAUUAAUUAAAUCUGUAUAUUCUUGCACUUCGUUUUUGUUGUUUUAAAUUUAAAUCACCUGAAAAUUAGUUAAAACAAAUUAAUUAACAUUCACAAAAACAUUAUAUUCUUCAAGCUGCACAAGUGUGCUGGAUAAUUUCUAGCUUUUGUGCGCUGGAUAAUUUAAACUCGGGCCAAAUUGAGUUACUUUAGACUAGUAGGUUAAUUAAUUUUUAUUAAUUGCGCCAAUUAAUCAAGUAUUGUAUCUAAAAAAAUUAAAGUAUAUAUAUACGUAAUGUGGAAUUGUAGUCCAGCCUCUCUCUCUCUCUCUCGUAGCCGUAGGAUGCGUCUUCCCCGUAAUUCACCAUUUCUUUUUCCUUCAUUUGAUUUCCGAAAAAUAAAUAAUGCGGUCAUGAAUAUUGAUUCAAAGUAAGGUUUGUUCCCAUUUUCAUCACUAUAUAUAUUUGACAAAAUACAACAUUUAUAAUUUUCGUCGCCUUCUUCGAUGACGUUCUAGAGAUUUGAAUUUUUUUCCACAAAAAGGAUCAGUAGCCAGAACACUUGGUAGAAUUAAGUAUAGAAUGUAGAUAAUAUAUUAAUUUGUGGGAUAAUUGAAUAAAUAAUUAAAAAAAUCUAUGAUUAUAUAUAGACUUGAUCAUAAAUUUUUUAUUUUAAAUAUUAAUCACUCUACUACAAAAUCAAUAUACACACAUUUAUCAUUUAUUUGUAUAUCAUUAAUUAUUAUUGAUGCACGUCAUCAUACAUACUCCAUCCGUCCCACAAAUCUUGACACAUUUGGUUUCGGCACGGAAAUUAAGGAAUAGCUAGAAAAUUAGUGUUUUAAGUGUGUAAUUAAUAAAAUAUAAAAGUAAUAAAGUAGGAGAGAAAAUGUAAUAAUUAUUACCUUAUUUGGAAAUGUGUCAAGAUUCGUGGGAUAGUCCAAAAAGGAAAACAUGUCAAAAUUCAUGGGACGGAGAGAGUAUUAUGUUAGACGAUGUAUAUUAUUGUAACAUAUAAUAAGUGCCACGUUUGUUGAAAAACAAAGUUGCGUAUGUGGAAGAAAUAUAAGAUGUUAUAAUGUCAAAGUACGUGGAACUCACAUUUAUCUUGACUAUGAUGCACGAAAACCUAACUAAGCAUAAUUACAGAAGGAAAAUAAGGUUUGAUAGGCGAAAAAUUGGUUUUAGGGGUUGGCAGGUGGCAGAAGGUAAUCAAGAUUAAUUAUCAUCUUUCCACCAAAAAAGACAAUAAAACUUAAUUUAUUAUUAUAUGAUUCGUUUUACAAGUUUUUUUAAAAGUCAAAAACAUUUCUUUUAACCAUUAAUACUCUCACGUAUAAGAGUGUAUUCUUUUUUCUUUUCUUUUUCUUUUUUUAGAAUUAUAAGAGAUAUAAUUAAGGGUAAAUAUCAUGAAAAACCCUGAAGUAUACUCGAUUUAUCAAAAAUACCUUGAAACUUUCAAAAUGUUCUCUAAACCUUCAAACUAUCAGAUUUUUAUCAAAUAUAUCCCGUAUUUAUUUUUCGGUCACCAAAUACGUGAUGUGGCUUAUCGAAUGCCAUAAUGUAAUUUAUAUUCUAUUUUUUUAAAAUGCAAUGGCAAACACGACGUCGUUUCGUACCAUAUCAUUUUUAAAAAAAUCCGCUCUAAAAUUUAAAAUUCACUCCUACCGUGUUUGAAAUUCACGCUAAUAACCUAGAUUUAGGGAUAAACACGGUAUAAUAUGGUACGAAACGAAGUUAUUUUUUCCAUGUCAUUUAAAAAAAAUAGAAUUAAAUUACGAGCCACAUCACGUUUCUGGUAACUGAAAAAUAGAUGCAGGAUAUAUAUAUUUGAUAAUAACCUUAUAGUUUGAAGGUUUAGAAAAUAUUUUGAAAGUUUCAGGGUAUUUUUGAUAAAGUGAAUAUAGUUGAGGAGUUUUCAUGAUAUUUAACCUAUAAUUAAAUAAGUCCGCACGCAUGCAGGACCUCUACACCACACAAAAGUGGAAAAACUACUCGCACGUAGACGAGAUUAAUGAACCAAAGACCUCUCACAAAUGAGAGCUUUUGGAUGCCUCAACUUUACUACUUGAGUUAGGCCAUAUUGACAACAAUACGUUCUUUUCUUUACGAAAAAAGAGUGAAAAAAAAUUACAUAUUUCAUUUAUUUUAUAUUUCUUUUUCACAUAUCGUAAGGUGGAUAGUUUUCUUAGAGUAUAAUGGAAAAAAAUUGAGCAACUCUAUUUUUCUUUUUUUCACUCAAAUUUAUGAUAAUAUUAUCACGAGUUAUGAAUAUAUAUAAUAUAAUAUAAUAUAAUAUAAUAUAAUAUAAUCUAAUCUUUUUGGGAGUGUUGAUGUGAUAAACUAUAUUUAUAUGUUUUCCACUUUAAAGAACAUGAAAAAAAAACUGAGAUAGAUAAUUCUUUUCCUUCUCAUUAUAAAUUUACAAUUAAAAAGAGGCAUUAGGAGUCUUAUCAUUUAAAAUUUCCCCAAGGGACUUAAAAGUCAAAGUUAUGUCUAAACUACUGAUAUUAUAUGUAUUUUUGUGACGAUGUCGUUAAGUGACCAAUUGACUAGCCACAUAUAUUUUCCCAGCUUUAAAUUUUGGGAUAAUUAGCUCAUAAAUUACUAAAUUUUAAUCAAAAUUUUAGUUUUGCGCAUCAAUUUUAAAAUAUAUUCAUGACGAUUAAGUUUUCAAAUUCAUUUGAUUUUUCUCAUGAGUUGGAUACCAACCCAAUUUAGUGAGGUGAAUUCUAGCCCAAUAACAUGAUCGUAUGAAUUUUUGCCCUUAUGUUUGAAUUGAUUCCAAAUUAAUUAUGUACAAUUUCAAUCGGAAACAAUGAUAUUUUGAUAUGUUAAUUGGGUUGGAAUUUGGUUUUGCUAGGAAAAUCUUAUUAAAUUAAAAUAUUAGUAAUUAUUCGGAAACCAAUAUAUGUAUAAAAGUAGUUUUUUAUUAUAUAUAUACAAUUAACCCUAUACAUAUCUACAUCUAUAAUUUAUAUUUUUGCAAAAUAUAUAUGAGUAAUAAGUUUCGUUUGUAUUAUUGCUUACCGACAUGCUUGUUGUUCUUCAAUUAUGGGCCGCUCAGUUAUAAAUUUGUCGUCAUUUAAUUAAAUUACAUUGAUGGUACGUUGGUGAAUUAUUUUGUUGAGAGAUUUUGUUCUUAUAUUAUUUGUUUUUAUGAAGGCAAAAAUAUGAAAGUGAGAUGACGAUACGCGACAUUUAUAUACAAUAUGGGUAUCACAUCCUACAAAAUUAUACUCGUUGGCAGGCCAGGAAUUAAUUAUAUGUACGUGUCUAGGUUAGGGGGGGCUAGAGCCCCCUCCCAAAUUUUGAUUUUUUUUUAAAUAUAUAUAGAUAUAUGUUUAUACCUAUUAUAAAAUAAUUUUGUUUUAUAAAAGAGUAUUUGGUUAUUAUAUUCUCUCAUAUAUAUACUUAAUUUAAGGAUAAUUCUGUUAUUUAAAACUAUAUAAUCUAUGAAAUAUUGUUUGUUAUUAUUACUAUUAUACUU
rnacentral:lncRNA from 1 species